AUGCAUUGGUUCGCGUGGUGGAAAAUGUGUAUCCCAAAGGACAGGGGUGGAAUGGGAUUCCAUGACAUUCAUAGCUUUAAUCUGGCAAUGCUGGCCAAACAGUGCUGGAGACUCAUCGAGUAUCAUGAUUCAUUAUGUGCUAGGGUACUUCGAUCUAAAUAUUUCCCUUCCGGUGAGUUGCUAAACUGUGAACUCAAGAAGGGCUCUUCAUUUGUAUGGCAGAGCAUCUGCGCAGGAGUGCAAACCUUUAAAAGGAAGUAUUUGGAGAGUUGGCAACGGCCUGAAAAUAAAUAUUUGGGAUGA
rnacentral:rRNA from 1 species